rnacentral:tRNA from 1 species
GCCGAAGUGAUGGAAUUGGCAGACGUGCGAGACUCAAACUCUCGUGGUGGCAACACCGUGUGGGUUCGAUCCCCACCUUCGGCACCA